CCCGCCUAACUUAAGCAUAUCGUUAAGCGGAGGACAAGAAACUAAACAGGAUUCCCUCAGUAGCGGCGAGCGAACAGGGACCAGCUCAGCGCCGAAGCCGUCGACGGGCGACCGUCGACGGCGGUGUGGUGCGUAGGCCCGGCGGACGUGCGAACGACCUGUCGUCGUAGGCUCCCUUGAUCGGGACGUCGGAGAGGGUGCAAGGCCCGUGACGACGGCGGUUGCCCGCAACGCGCUCGCCGGGCUGUCGAGUCGGGUUGCUCGAGAGUGCAGCCCAAAGCGGGUGGUAAAUCCCACCUACAGCUAAAUACGACUACGAGACCGAUAGCGAACAAGUACCGCGAGGGAAAGUUGAAAGGAACUUUGAAGAGAGAGUUCAACAGGACGUGAAACCGUUCGGAAGCAAACCGAUGGAGCUGUCGUCGUUUGGUCGGCACUCAGUCGAAACGGGCCGCAGUGACGUUGUGCGCUGCCAGCCAGCCUCGGCCGGUUGGUCACGCCGCUGCCCACAAUGUACGGGCGCCGCACGAUGCACUUGCCGACCAGUGGCGUCACGAGCGACGGGCGGCGGAGCAUGGGCUCGCGCUCGUUGUCGCAACAACAACGGGUGCGCUGCUUGGCCCGGCGCGAAGAGGGUGCUUGGCGUGACCGCUCGUCGUUCACCGACGGGCGGCCCUCCGUCCUGUCACAACCGGCGCGCCGUUUGGCCGCAGCUCCGUCCUGACGCUUGCCGCCUGUCGCCCAGCGAAACGCGCGAGACGACCUUGCCGACUGGCAGUCGACGACGGUUCGUGCCAGCGGGCGACCGUUGGCCGCGCUGCCGACUGCGCUCCAUGCCGAGGCGCACGGCGGUCCCGGCGUACGUUCAACCAUUUUUGACCAGUCGCCCUUUAGGACCGGUUCACCCCGCGCUUCCUUCUGAGGUGGCUUGCGUGGUUGACGGUUGCGCUGUUGCGACGCCAGCCGACGCCUUCGACCAGUCGGCCGAGGCGAACUCUGUGACGUCCGCGUCAGUCGCUCAUCGGACCCGUCUUGAAACACGG
rnacentral:ncRNA from 1 species